UGAGGAAUAUUGGUCAAUGGGCGAGAGCCUGAACCAGCCAAGUAGCGUGCAGGAUGACGGCCCUAUGGGUUGUAAACUGCUUUUAUACGGGGAUAAAGUUGGGACGUGGUCCCCAUUUGCUAGGUACCGUAUGAAUAAGGACCGGCUAAUUCCGUGCCAGCAGCCGCGGUAAUACGGAAGGUCCGGGCGUUAUCCGGAUUUAUUGGGUUUAAAGGGAGCGUAGGCCGGAGAUUAAGCGUGUUGUGAAAUGUAGACGCUCAACGUCUGAAUUGCAGCGCGAACUGGUUUCCUUGAGUACGUAGGAAGUUGGCGGAAUUCGUGGUGUAGCGGUGAAAUGCUUAGAUAUCACGAAGAACUCCGAUUGCGAAGGCAGCUGACUGUAUCGUAACUGACGCUGAAGCUCGAAAGUGUGGGUAUCGAACAGGAUUAGAUACC
rnacentral:rRNA from 1 species